rnacentral:rRNA from 1 species
CAUGCAAGUCGUACGAGAGUCUUUGACUCAAGUGGCGGACGGGUGAGUAACACGUAAGAAUUUGCCUUUAGGAGGGGGACAACAACUGGAAACGGUUGCUAAUACCCCAUAUGCUUUCGAGUGAAAUGGAUUUUUCCGCCUAGAGAGAAGCUUGCGGCUGAUUAGCUUGUUGGUGAGGUAAUGGCUCACCAAGGCGACGAUCAGUAUCUGGUUUGAGAGGACGAUCAGACACACUGGAACUGAGACACGGUCCAGACUCCUACGGGAGGCAGCAGUGGGGAAUUUUCCGCAAUGGGCGAAAGCCUGACGGAGCAAUCUCGCGUGAGGGAUGACUGCCUAUGGGUUGUAAACCUCUUUUUUCAGGGAGGAAUAAAUGACGUGUACCUGAAGAAUAAGCAUCGGCUAACUCCGUGCCAGCAGCCGCGGUAAUACGGAGGAUGCAAGUGUUAUCCGGAAUCACUGGGCGUAAAGCGUUUGUAGGUGGUUUAAUAAGUCAACUGCUUAAUCUUGAGGCUCAACUUCAAAAUCGCAGUCGAAACUAU